rnacentral:rRNA from 1 species
CCUGGUGACCAUAGAGAGCUGGAACCACCCGAUCCCAUUCCGAACUCGACCGUGAAACGGUUCAUCGCCGAUGAUAGUGUGGGGUCUCCCCAUGUGAAAGUAGGACAUCGCCAGGC